AGGAAAGGGUUACUUUGACUAAGGUCUGUGCACUGCAGUGUGGACACCAGAGCCCUAGGUUUGAGCAUGGGUCAGAAAAUCCUUUACCCAGAGUUAAAAUGCAGUGUAGACGCUCAAGCCCAGGGUUCCCUGACAUAGGUCAGCUGAUGCGAGUCCCACUAACUCUAGGCUUACACUUUUAUGUAGACAUACCCU